ensembl:lncRNA
UGAAAGUGAAGUCGCUCAGUCGUGUCCAACUCUUUGCAACCCCAUGGACUGUAGUCUACCAGGCUCCUCCAUCCACGGGAUUUUCCAGCCUCUUCUUCAGGUUACUCCCCUUGACCAGAAUGCUCUUUCCCCUCUUCGAUUCCUGAUAAACUUCCAUCAUCCUGUGAAAUGCUGCACAAGCAUCACCUUCUCCAUGUGAAACCUUCCUUGCCUGCUCUGUGGACCUCCUGGCAAGUCUCUGGAACACUCUUCUAUGUUAGAAUGCCCUCCAGCGGACAGACGUCUAAGGUAAGAGCCACUCACCUGCAUGCUACCAUGGGUCUGCAGCAGAGACCCUGGACGGUUUUGUUCUGCAUGGACUUGGUGUUAUUUAAGACCAGAAGCUCCUCCAGCACCAUCAUGGUCUUGGUGUCCCCCACAGCGAGCCCAGGGCCUGGCACAGGGUAGGGCUGAAUAAAUGAAGGACCCACAGAGGACGCAGCUCCUUCUCUUCCCCAUUGUAGCCCAGAGUCCAGCCUAUUCACCGGCCUGGCCCCCUCCCUCUGAAGUGCAGAAUGACAGCUUGACCAGGGACUAACACUCUAAAGGAUGACAUUAAAAUGGAACAGAUACGGGCCCUCAAAGCAAACCUCACCCAGAUCUACACCAUUCCAAUUAUGAGAUGUUUAGUCUAUACUGUCUCCACUAACCUUUCGACCCAUAACAGAGGCAGCGUCAUUCCUGACGAGAACAGGAGCCCCUCACCGCCCCCUGGGCUCCCAACAUCGGGGGAGCGCUGAGCCAAGACUCUAGGUCCUUUGUGCCCUGCCAACUCCGGGAGGCCGGACGGAGGACAGGCUGGCUGGCUCCCCAGACUCUGCAGCCUCUGGACAUGGUGCUUCGAGGGUGAGGGGCUGGGAUGGGUCUUCUGGUUGCUAUUUUCUUCUACUUCUCCCCAAAUCCCCCCAUUCCUUCCAGGUGCUAGGAAGUCCUUCGGUUGCCACCAGAAAGCAGGCAUGACUUUUUUCCUUUGGGAGGAGUCCCUGCAGAAGACUUUUGUCACACUGCCACCCGGAAGACACAGCUGGGGCUUUCAGCCUCCUUCCCCUAGGAGCAUCAGGCUCUGGUUCUAGGGCCCAUCUCCCUUCUAGCUUCUGGGUGGAGGCCUCCCCUAGGGGAAGGAAUGGUCAGGGUUCCCAGGCCAGGGAGAUUCAAUAUUGAUUUGGAUCUCUCAUUCCUACAUGCACGCACAGACACACACAGAUACACACACACCAGCAUCCUCUUUCCCUCUUGGCGUUC